GCCCGACUGGCGCAAUUGGCUAGCGCAUCGGACUUCUAAUCCGAAGGCUGCGGGUUCGACCCCCGCGUUGGGUG
rfam:Allomyces macrogynus ATCC 38327 genomic scaffold supercont3.65, whole genome shotgun sequence.